CCCUUUGAGCAUUUUUCAGAGAUGCUUCUUCAGAUUAGUCAGUGUCCCACUACCUAAGCCUGCUGGAAAGAGGAAAAGACAGCCAGUGCUGCUCAGACAUUCAAAGGACAGGGAUACUCUAGACCAUUGCUGCUGCAGUAUGUGGAAGCUUACCAGAUCUUGCUCAACAGUGAGGGCAGCCUUAGGCACAAGGAAAUGCCAAAGGAGUGGAGCUCUACAGAUGACCUGAAAUCAUUUCCAAAUGGUGUGUGGGAAGGAGCCUGAAAACAAAACAAGAAAUGGGGAACCAAGGAAUCACCAAAUUAGGCAGCAAUAUAAGAAAAGAAGAGAAAACAAAAAAGAAGAGAAAGCAAAGUAGGACAAUAAGUCUCCAGUUUAUAUAGAGAGUCUUCAACCUAAGGUAAAAAUUUCUUCCACAGCAGCUUAAUGCCACCCACAGCCUUCAACAGCACAGGACCAUGGAGGUUGGUGAAACACCCAGUGCACAUGAUCCUGUACAGGCAGCUGUACUGCAUGCUCUCUGAAGAGGUCAGUGCUACAGAGAAACAUUUACUGUCUUUUGACCAUGUUGAACGACUCUCUCAGGGUAAUAAACAAAAAUCCCUGCUAGAAAUAUCAGAGCCAUUUGCUUAGUGUUUACUGCGAGUGCUAGGAGACAAAUGUAGAGUGGGCAGGAAACUGUCCCGAGCCUGUGAUUUUGAGAGCUUCUGCUACAAAGACAAAAGUUAAAAUGAAAAGAAAAUAUACAAUAAAACUGUAAAUAAAAAAACAACCCCCAAACCCACAGACUGAUCGUUCCCAAUAAUUGGUUCAGAGUGACUACAGCCUUUUAAACAAACAUGGGAGGAUAUUCAGAAAUGCUUCUCAGUGCCUCCUACACCAAAACUGUCCCAAGGUUCCCAUCGGUAAGCGGAGAGAGGCAAAAAGCCUUCUGGAUGUGAUUCGGAGCAAAAGCCUAACUCAAGAUGUGAUUUUGGCUCCUGCUCCAUGCAGCCCACAUGGAGGCUGCAGCCAAGAGGUGGAUCCGCUCCUUCCCUUUACCCUCCUCCCCUGCCCUGGCUCUGGCACUCCUGAGGCCACGGGACAACACUGAACCGACCGCUCACCCAGCAGAAUGCUGCACACCAAGGAAGAGAGCACGAGGUCUAUUUCAGACAAACUGCUUGCCCAAAAGCAGCCCAUAACACCCAGUUGUGAGAUUUACAGGUUUUAACCUAAUAAAAGAUUUUUUUUUAUUAAGUGUUUAACACUGCUGUUAAGAAAAUAUCAGUGACAGACAUUUGUACAAUUACUUUUAUUUUCUUUAAUGUCAAAAUGAAAGACUUCAAAACGAAUCUUCUCCCACACUUUUAAUUUCUGUGAAUCAGCAUUUCCCAAUUAAAAUAAAUAAAUAAAUAAAAACUUU